rnacentral:rRNA from 1 species
UACGUAGGGGGCAAGCGUUGUCCGGAAUCAUUGGGCGUAAAGAGCGUGUAGGCGGCCAGAAAAGUCCGCUGUGAAAACUCGAGGCUCAACCUUCGAGCUGUCGGUGGAAACUUUCUGGCUAGAGUCCGGAAGAGGAGAAUGGAAUUCCUGGUGUAGCGGUGAAAUGCGCAGAUAUCAGGAAGAACACCCGUGGCGAAGGCGGUUCUCUGGGACGGUACUGACGCUGAGACGCGAAAGCGUGGGGAGCGAACAGG